AUGAAACACCUCAACUGGAACUUUCGGGGGCUUGGGAACCCCGAGGCAGUUCGCGAGCUUCGGAAGAUUACGAAGCAGGAAGGGCCCAGCCUAAUCUUUGUGAUGGAAACAAAGAUUAGGACGAAGAGAGUUGAAAUUCUGAAGCAUACACUCGGUUUUUCGGGCUGUUUUGCUGUUGACAGCGCGGGGCUUAGUGGGGGCCUCGGUUUGUUC
rnacentral:rRNA from 1 species